AGGACGAACGCUGGCGGCGUGCUUAACACAUGCAAGUCGAGCGGAAAGGCCCUUCGGGGUACUCGAGCGGCGAACGGGUGAGUAACACGUGAGUAACCUGCCCUGGACUUUGGGAUAACCCUCGGAAACGGGGGCUAAUACCGAAUAUGACCUGACGCUGCAUGGUGUUUGGUGGAAAGUUUUUCGGUCUGGGAUGGGCUCGCGGCCUAUCAGCUUGUUGGUGGGGUGAUGGCCUACCAAGGCGACGACGGGUA
rnacentral:rRNA from 1 species